rnacentral:rRNA from 1 species
UACAGAGGUCUCAAGCGUUGUUCGGAUUCAUUGGGCGUAAAGGGUGCGUAGGUGGCGUGGUAAGUCGGGUGUGAAAUUUCGGAGCUUAACUCCGAAACUGCAUUCGAUACUGCCGUGCUUGAGGACUGGAGAGGAGACUGGAAUUUACGGUGUAGCAGUGAAAUGCGCAGAUAUCGGGAGGAACACCAGCGGCGAAGGCGGCACUCUGGGCUGGUACUGACGCUGAGGAGCGAAAGCGUGGGUAGCAAACAGG